rnacentral:rRNA from 1 species
AUACGGAGGGUGCAAGCGUUAUUCGGAAUCACUGGGCGUAAAGGACGCGUAGGCGGGUUGGCAAGUCAGAUGUGAAAUCCUACAGCUUAACUGUAGAACUGCAUUUGAAACUGCUAACCUAGAGUAUGGGAGGGGGAGAUGGAAUUAGUGGUGUAGGGGUAAAAUCCGUAGAUAUCACUAGGAAUACCGAAAGCGAAGGCGAUCUCCUGGAACAUAACUGACGCUAAGGCGUGAAAGCGUGGGGAGCAAACAGGAUUAGAUACACUAGUAGUCC